UACGAAGGGGGCUAGCGUUGUUCGGAUUUACUGGGCGUAAAGCGCACGUAGGCGGGUCGUUAAGUCGGGGGUGAAAUCCUGGAGCUCAACUCCAGAACUGCCUUCGAAACUGACGAUCUUGAGUUCGGGAGAGGUGAGUGGAACUGCGAGUGUAGAGGUGAAAUUCGUAGAUAUUCGCAAGAACACCAGUGGCGAAGGCGGCUCACUGGCCCGAUACUGACGCUGAGGUGCGAAAGCGUGGGGAGCAAACAGG
rnacentral:rRNA from 1 species